rnacentral:Y_RNA from 1 species
GAUGGUCCGAAGGUAGUGAGUUAUCUCAACUGAUUGUUCUCAGUCAGUUACAGAUCGAACUCCUUGUUUGACUCUUUCCCCCUUCUCACUACUGCACUUGACUAGUCUUAA